rnacentral:rRNA from 1 species
UCUUUUAAUUGAAGGCUCGUAUGAAUGGCCGGACAAAAAGUGAGCUGUCUCCAAUUGUUAAAAUUGAAUUUGACCUUUAAGUGAAAAGGCUUAAAUAAUACAAAGUGACGAUAAGACCCUAUAAAGCUUUAAAGCAAAUUAUUUUUCAGAAUAAAUUAUUAAAUCCAUAUAACUUAAUUUAAAAGAAAGCUUUUUUGUUGGGGCGACAAAAAUAUAAAUAAGUAACUGUUUUUGUAAACAAAAAACAGUGAUAACUGGAGUAUAAAAUGAUCCUUUACUAAAGACUAAAAGGUUAAGUUACUUUAGGGAUAACAGCGUAAUCUUCUUUGAGAGUCCAAAUCGACAAGAAGGGUUGCGACCUCGAUGUUGAAUUAAGGUUCCUUUAUGGUGUAGCAGUUAUAAUAGGAGGUCUGUUCGACCUUUAAAUCCUUACAUGAUUU